rnacentral:rRNA from 1 species
UCUGACCUCUGACCUCAAAUCAGGUAGGACU